ACGAACGCUGGCGGCGUGCUUAACACAUGCAAGUCGAACGGAAAGGCCCUGCUUUUGUGGGGUGCUCGAGUGGCGAACGGGUGAGUAACACGUGAGUAACCUGCCCUUGACUUUGGGAUAACUUCAGGAAACUGGGGCUAAUACCGGAUAGGAGCUCCUGCUGCCUGGUGGGGGUUGGAAAGUUUCGGCGGUUGGGGAUGGACUCGCGGCUUAUCAGCUUGGUGGUGGGGUAGGGGCUUACCAAGGCUUUGACGGGUAGCCGGCCUGAGAGGGUGACCGGCCACAUUGGGACUGAAAUACGGCCCAGACUCCUACGGGAGGCAGCAGUGGGGAAUAUUACACAAUGGGCGGAAGCCUGAUGCAGCAACGCCGCGUGCGGGAUGACGGCCUUCGGGUUGUAAACCGCUUUCGCCUGGGACGAAGCGUGAGUGACGGUAAUGGGUAAAGAAGCACCGGCUAACUACGUG
rnacentral:rRNA from 1 species